rnacentral:misc_RNA from 1 species
GAUGAAGAACGUAGUGAACGUGCGAAACGUAAUGUGAAUUGCAGAAUUCAGUGAAUCAUCGAAUCUUUGAACGCAUCUUGCGCUCCUUGGUAUUCCGAGGAGCAUGCCUGUUUGAGUGUCGUGAAUACUCUCAACUUCAACCCUUUUUUCGGAAAGGGAGGAAGGUUGGACUUGGGUGUUUGUUGAAGUGCGAGCUUCGACUCAUCCUAAAUGCAUUAGCGAUCUGCCUCGAUCACACACAAUGUGAUAAUUAAAACUAAAGCAUUGUUUAAUGAUCAAGUCGAGACUGCUUCUAGCUGUCGCAAGACAAUAACGUGCAUACAUUUGUGCAUGUCAUUUGACCUCAAAUCAGGUAGGACUACCCGAUGAACUUAAGCAUAUCAAAAGCGGAGGA